ensembl:lncRNA
CUGUUUAUUCCCUCUGUUCCCCUCACUCGUUUGUUGCAUGGAAUUUUGCCAGGACAUGUUUCUCAGUCAUGACGGGUUGGAGGAUGAUGAAAUUUGGACUCUGUGUAGCUGAAAUUGGGGGACCCCUUCCUGCUACUCCUGGGACCCCGACACCUGAGACGCCACCGCUUGGCUAGGCCGUUCUCUGCAGCCAAACGCCGUGUUCUUAAUGGAACCGAUCCUGCUGCCUCUUUCUAUCUGGCUCUAAUGGAAGGAGUCGGCUCUGUGAUUCUUCAGCCCCAGCCGUCCCUCACACCCCGUCCGUCGAAGGACACAUCCUUUAUUAUGUUUCUCUUCGUCCGGUCGCACGACCUGCAAAACUUUGACCAACAGAUCCGACACUUUGGAGGGAGGUUCUCUAGGAAAAUCAAGAAAAUCUGUGACCAAUACUCUCCGCGCUAGCCGCCGGGGUUGUCACGGCGAUGAAUAGCUGGCGAAGAACGAUGACAAAUAACUGCAGGAAGCUCAAGGCCCGGUAUGAAUCAUUCAUCGCCUCAGCGUUGAGGCACGGUGAUUAUUUCCUGGGGGAAGACUGGUUUUAAAAAGGUUGUGGAGGGAAGUCAAUAAUGGAUGAUUCAGGUCUGUGCCGUGCGUCGCGGUUAUUAAAUGAUGGGGUUUCGGGGUGUUUGUCACAUAUUGUGUUUGUGUCCGUGGUGUUCGGCGGAGUUGUUGAUGUACACCAAACACGGGUUUCUAUUCUUCGUCUCAUUGAUUAAACACGAUAAAUGAUCGUC